GACGAACGCUGGCGGCGUGCUUAACACAUGCAAGUCGAACGGAAAGGCCCUGCUUUUGUGGGGUGCUCGAGUGGCGAAAGGGUGAGUAACACGUGAGUAACCUGCCCUUGACUUUGGGAUAACUUCAGGAAACUGGGGCUAAUACCGGAUAGGAGCUCCUGCUGCAUGGUGGGGGUUGGAAAGUUUCGGCGGUUGGGGAUGGACUCGCGGCUUAUCAGCUUGUUGGUGGGGUAGUGGCUUACCAAGGCUUUGACGGGUAGCCGGCCUGAGAGGGUGACCGGCCACAUUGGGACUGAGAUACGGCCCAGACUCCUACGGGAGGCAGCAGUGGGGAAUAUUGCACAAUGGGCGGAAGCCUGAUGCAGCAACGCCGCAUGCGGGAUGACGGCCUUCGGGUUGUAAACCGCUUUCGCCUGUGACGAAGCGUGAGUGACGGUAAUGGGUAAAGAAGCACCGGCUAACUACGU
rnacentral:rRNA from 1 species